rnacentral:rRNA from 1 species
UACGUAGGGUCCAAGCGUUAAUCGGAAUUACUGGGCGUAAAGCGUGCGCAGGCGGUUCGCUAAGACAGAUGUGAAAUCCCCGGGCUUAACCUGGGAACUGCAUUUGUGACUGGCGGGCUAGAGUAUGGCAGAGGGGGGUAGAAUUCCACGUGUAGCAGUGAAAUGCGUAGAGAUGUGGAGGAAUACCGAUGGCGAAGGCAGCCCCCUGGGCCAAUACUGACGCUCAUGCACGAAAGCGUGGGGAGCAAACAGG